UCGGAUGUGGUGUAUGGAACACCUCCGGUUUUCCUGAAGGCGCAAGAAGAUGAUCCAGUCACUGGCAGUCCGGGGUUCGACUCCCCGUGUCCGAU